AACGAACGCUGGCGGCAGGCUUAACACAUGCAAGUCGAGCGCCCCGCAAGGGGAGCGGCAGACGGGUGAGUAACACGUGGGAACGUACCUUUUGCUACGGAAUAGCUCCGGGAAACUGGAAUUAAUACCGUAUGUGCCCUUCGGGGGGAAGAUUUAUCGGCAAAAGAUCGGCCCGCGUCUGAUUAGCUAGUUGGUGGGGUAAUGGCCUACCAAGGCGACGAUCAGUAGCUGGUCUGAGAGGAUGAUCAGCCACACUGGGACUGAGACACGGCCCAGACUCCUACGGGAGGCAGCAGUGGGGAAUAUUGGACAAUGGGCGCAAGCCUGAUCCAGCCAUGCCGCGUGAGUAAUGAAGGCCUUAGGGUUGUAAAGCUCUUUCGCUAGGGAAGAUAAUGACGGUACCUAGAGAAGAAGCCCCGGCUAACUUCGUGCCAGCCGCCGCUGUAACAC
rnacentral:rRNA from 1 species